UACACGACCGUACCGCAAACCGACACUGGUGCGCGAGAUGAGUAUUCUAAGGCGCUUGAGAGAACUCAGGAGAAGGAACUCGGCAAAUUGACACCGUAACUUCGGAAGAAGGUGUGCCUUUAGUAGGUGAACCUGUACAAGGGGAGCCCAAUGAGGUUGCAAAAAAUCGGUGGCUGCGACUGUUUAAUAAAAACACAGCACUCUGCAAACACGAAAGUGGACGUAUAGGGUGUGACGCCUGCCCGGUGCUGGAAGAUUAAAUGAUGGGGUGCAAGCUCUUGAUUGAAGUCCCAGUAAACGGCGGCCGUAACCAUAACGGUCCUAAGGUAGCGAAAUUCCUUGUCGGGUAAGUUCCGACCUGCACGAAUGGCGUAACGAUGGCCACACUGUCUCCUCCUGAGACUCAGCGAAGUUGAAAUGUUUGUGAUGAUGCAAUCUCCCCGCGGAAAGACGGAAAGACCCCAUGAACCUUUACUGUAGCUUUGUAUUGGACUUUGAACAGAUCUGUGUAGGAUAGGUGGGAGGCUUUGAAGUGUGGUCGCUAGAUCGCAUGGAGCCAACGUUGAAAUACCACCCUGGUGUGUUUGAGGUUCUAACCUAGGCCCGUAAUCCGGGUCGGGGACAGUGCAUGGUAGGCAGUUUGACUGGGGCGGUCUCCUCCCAAAGCGUAACGGAGGAGUUCGAAGGUACGCUAGGUACGGUCGGACAUCGUGCUAAUAGUGCAAUGGCAUAAGCGUGCUUAACUGCGAGACUGACAAGUCGAGCAGAUGCGAAAGCAGGACAUAGUGAUCCGGUGGUUCUGUAUGGAAGGGCCAUCGCUCAACGGAUAAAAGGUACUCUGGGGAUAACAGGCUGAUACCGCCCAAGAGUUCAUAUCGACGGCGGUGUUUGGCACCUCGAUGUCGGCUCAUCUCAUCCUGGGGCUGUAGCCGGUCCCAAGGGUAUGGCUGUUCGCCAUUUAAAGAGGUACGUGAGCUGGGUUUAAAACGUCGUGAGACAGUUUGGUCCCUAUCUUCCGUGGGCGCUGCAGAUUUGAGGAAGCCUGCUCCUAGUACGAGAGGACCGGAGUGGACACACCUCUGGUGUAUCGGUUGUCACGCCAGUGGCAUUGCCGAGUAGCUAUGUGUGGAAGAGAUAACCGCUGAAAGCAUCUAAGCGGGAAACUCGUUUCAAGAUGAGAUCUGCCGGGGCCUUGAGCCCCCUAAAGAGUCGUUCAAGACCAGGACGUUGAUAGGUCGGGUGUGGAAGCGCAGUAAUGCGUUAAGCUAACCGAUACUAAUUGCUCGUGCGGCUUGACCCU
rnacentral:rRNA from 1 species